AUUGAACGCUGGCGGCAGGCUUAACACAUGCAAGUCGAGCGGAGAUGAGGUGCUUGCACCUUAUCUUAGCGGCGGACGGGUGAGUAAUGCUUAGGAAUCUGCCUAUUAGUGGGGGACGACAUUCCGAAAGGAAUGCUAAUACCGCAUACGUCCUACGGGAGAAAGCAGGGGAUAUUCGGACCUUGCGCUAAUAGAUGAGCCUAAGUCGGAUUAGCUAGUUGGUGGGGUAAAGGCCUACCAAGGCGACGAUCUGUAGCGGGUCUGAGAGGAUGAUCCGCCACACUGGGACUGAGACACGGCCCAGACUCCUACGGGAGGCAGCAGUGGGGAAUAUUGGACAAUGGGGGGAACCCUGAUCCAGCCAUGCCGCGUGUGUGAAGAAGGCCUUAUGGUUGUAAAGCACUUUAAGCGAGGAGGAGGCUACUGAGACUAAUACUCUUGGAUAGUGGACGUUACUCGCAGAAUAAGCACCGGCUAACUCUGUGCCAGCCGCCGCGGUAA
rnacentral:rRNA from 1 species